GCCGGUUCACAUGCUCCAAAAGGUGCACCACGUGUUCCCAGUUCUGCAUAGACAUGUGAGAACUGACACAGCUGAAGCUGAACAAGAGGUCACUGCCUGCAAGUGCCCAUUAAGUCUACUGUGGUUAGAAACAGCACUGACCUGCAUGAGUAGCACGUCGGCCUGGUCCACCACAACCAGCUCGAUGGAAGAGAGGAAGUCAAAGUCGCGGUCCUUCUCUCCUUCCGCACCCACGACGGUCCUCAAGCCCAAGGGCGAGGCCAGCAGGAUGUCAGAGGCAUAAAAGUCUCGGUACAACCGCAGGCUCUUGCCCGACACACUCAAGCCCAACCGGAACGCAUCAUCAGUGUUGCCCACAAAAGUCUGUUCGUAGUCCUCGGGGCGUUCCAGCCAACGCUUCUUCUCUUCCUCGCAGCCAAACUCCUUCAGGAACCUUAGAAGAUGGAUAAAAUGAACGAGGUUGGGCAGCAGCUGGGCAAGCAGCUUGACAGUGCGCAGAGCCGACUCCCGGAAAGGCAGCAGAAAGAGCACUUGUGGCCGUGUCAGCCCUUGGUCUCGCAGCUCCGUGUUGGCACCUCGACGCAGUCGUGCAUUGUGGUGAAGGACACGAGACCGGCUCUAUAGGAGGGCAAAACAAUAAAACAAACCAGUGGUAGUUUCGACAUGUUGGUAAUUCACAAGAACGUUAAAAAGCAUGAACUGGACAUGGACGAAAAAGGCAUGUACACACAUACCACAGGAGUUACUUCCAACAAUUUAUUCUUGCAAUCCUGUUGCAAAUUUACACACAACCAACAUAAACGUAACCUGAGCAAAUCAGUGUGCAGAACUGAAAAAAUACAUAAAGGCUAGACAACAUAUUACUUCUAAGUAAUCCAUGUUGGCACACCCAGAAAAUCAAAGUUCUUUUGCUGUUAGCACGAUAGAUGGCAUGCCUACACACAUUUCACCCAGCUAUUCUCUCUCUUCUGCUUUGGUAAUCUCUCUUGUAAGCUCAUUCUUGCUUUGGUCAAGAAUUCUGCAAGUGUCAAACAACGGGUGACAGCCACAUGUCUUACAGUGCAUUGCAAGAAAGCCACCAGCAAUGUUUCUUACACUGUAAGAGCGCUCUCGCAACCGAUCGUUCAGGCUUUCAAAAGUAAGGGCUGAGGGAAACAAGCUUUGCAACCGUCUGAAGUCAUGGAAAUUAGUGAAGGAUACUCAGACGAGUAAGCAUGAUUAUUUAGAAGUUUUUUUUCACUGUCAAAACCCACAAAGUAGAUAUUAGGCUGAUUAUCUCUGAACAUGAGACUUGGCAAAAGCCAGUCAGGUUGUUCUUACAAGCCAAGCUUGAUGUUUUACCACCUUGUGACCCAUUCCUUGUUAAGAAAUUAGAAGAAAUUAUUGAUUUUAUGAAACUUAACCAUGACAAAUACCUACAGGCAUUUUAUAUUGAUAUUAAAUAUUUGUUUUAUA